CCUGUCUAUUUGCGAAGCAAAGCAUCAUAAUGGUGAAAUUUUUUAUCCUGGCAUUUACAAUUGCUGCGUGUCUUGCACUUGUUGUAUCCCAGACUGACCAGCACUGCCCUUUGAGAUUUACUGAUGGACGUUGUGAGUUUCUAGGUCGGAUUGUUGGUCACGGCCAAACAAUGCAAUCUAUCGAUCCCUGCGUUUCCAUCACGUGCGACGCAAAUAGACGCACAGUUCUGCUUAAAGGGUGUCCACCCCCGCAAGGAGACGCCAACCAUCCUGGUGCGCCUGGCGUGCAACCGCAAACCUCGUGGCCGAGGUGUUGUAAUAAUGAGUGUCGACUGCCUGCGCGUCAAGGCGGAAGGAAGUGAUCAUUCAUACGUGUUCAACAAUUUGCCAGUGUUUAGAAGCGAAAAUAUCUGCAAAACACAUCGUGAAUUGCGGAAUAAGGCUUUCUUUAGGCUGUUUAUUGUUACAGAUACCAAUAAAGAUAAAUACAUGUGUUCGGAA